UACGGAGGGUGCAAGCGUUACUCGGAAUCACUGGGCGUAAAGGAUGCGUAGGCGGAUUAAUAAGUUGGGAGUGAAAUCCUAUGGCUCAACCAUAGAACUGCUUUCAAAACUGUUAGUCUAGAAUGUGGGAGAGGUAGAUGGAAUUAGUGGUGUAGGGGUAAAAUCCGUAGAGAUCACUAGGAAUACCGAUUGCGAAGGCGAUCUACUGGAACACAAUUGACGCUGAGGCAUGAAAAGCGUGGGGAGCAAACAGGAUUAGAUACCCGCGUAGU
rnacentral:rRNA from 1 species